UACGAGGGGGGCGAGCGUUGUUCGGAAUUAUUGGGCGUAAAGGGUGCGUAGGCGGUUCCGCAAGUCCUGUGUGAAAUCUUCGGGCUCAACUCGAAGUCUGCACGGGAAACUGCGGGGCUUGAGUGUGGGAGAGGUGAGUGGAAUUCCCGGUGUAGCGGUGAGAUGCGUAGAUAUCGGGAGGAACACCUGUGGCGAAAGCGGCUCACUGGACCAUAACUGACGCUGAUGCACGAAAGCUGGGGGAGCAAACAGG
rnacentral:rRNA from 1 species